rnacentral:tRNA from 1 species
UAGCUUAAUGGUAGAGCGGUCGGCUGUUAACCGAUUGGUCGUAGGUUCGAAUCCUACU